AUUGAACGCUAGCGGGAUGCCUUACACAUGCAAGUCGAACGGCGUGGCGAACGGGUGCGUAAUGUAUCGGAACGUGCCCAGUAGCGGGGGAUAACUACGCGAAAGCGUAGCUAAUACCGCAUACUCUUGGAGCGGCCGACGGCGGUUUAGCCAGUUGGUGGGGUAACGGCUACCAAAGGCGACGAUCCGUAGCUGGUUUGAGAGGACGACCAGCCACUCUGGGACUGAGACACGGCCCAGACUCCUACGUGAGGCAGCAGUGGGGGAUUUUGGACAAUGGGGGAACGCCUGAUCCAGCCAUCCCGCGUGUGGGAUGAAGGCCUUCGGGUUGUAAAGCACUUUUGGCAGGAAAGCGGUACCUGCAGAAUAAGCACCGGCUAACUACGUGCCAGCAGCCGCGGUAAUUC
rnacentral:rRNA from 1 species